rnacentral:rRNA from 1 species
GGGUUGUGAGGUUAAGCGACUAAGCGUACACGGUGGAUGCCCUGGCAGUCAGAGGCGAUGAAGGACGUGCUAAUCUGCGAUAAGCGCCGGUAAGGUGAUAUGAACCGUUAUAACCGGCGAUUUCCGAAUGGGGAAACCCAGUGUGAUUCGUCACACUAUCAUUAACUGAAUCCAUAGGUUAAUGAGGCGAACCGGGGGAACUGAAACAUCUAAGUACCCCGAGGAAAAGAAAUCAACCGAGAUUCCCCCAGUAGCGGCGAGCGAACGGGGAGGAGCCCAGAGCCUGAAUCAGCAUGUGUGUUAGUGGAAGCGUCUGGAAAGGCGCGCGAUACAGGGUGACAGCCCCGUACACAAAAGCGCAUGUGCUGUGAGCUCGAUGAGUAGGGCGGGACACGUGGUAUCCUGUCUGAAUAUGGGGGGACCAUCCUCCAAGGCUAAAUACUCCUGACUGACCGAUAGUGAACCAGUACCGUGAGGGAAAGGCGAAAAGAACCCCGGCGAGGGGAGUGAAAAAGAACCUGAAACCGUGUACGUACAAGCAGUGGGAGCCCCACCACUAAGCCAGUGGUGAACUCCACAUACGCAUCCUUUGCUGAGGAUACGGUUAACGGAGCGAAAGCGACGUUCAACCGCAAAAGAAGCAGAGGGGGCUUAGUGGUGGGG